rnacentral:lncRNA from 1 species
GGGAGAAAGCCUGGUGCAGGCAGGGGAGAAAGCCGGGUGCAGGCAGGGGAGAAAGCUGGGUGCAGGCAGGUGAUGUGGGCAGGAGGAGGAGCACUCAGCUGAGGCACAAAGAUGCUUUGGCAGCAGAUCAGCCCUGACGUCACCCGGCACUUUCGGUUUCUUGGGAAGUGACGAAGCUGGAGCCUCGGAUCUUCUGGCAUGGCUGAAAGAGACACCAUGGCGGAGCAGCAGCCUGCGGCCGACAGCCCCGACGAAUUCUCCAUCUUCAUUAAGACUUGGUUUGGCAAAACGUUUGCAGUGCCAGUGUCUCUGGAUGACAGCGUGGGGGAGGUUAAGGACAAGCUGAGCGCACUGGACUCCUCCCUGACCCGCAGAAGCGGAAGGCUGGUCUACGGCAGAAGACAGCUGGAGGACAACCUGACCCUGCGACACUAUGAAAUCACACCCAUGUCCUGUUUGUACUGUUAUCCAAGAUUGCGAGCUGGCGGUGAACCUGUCAAACGUCAAUCUUUAGACACAGACUUAGCCCUAAGGAAGCUGGUGAUAGACCCUCACAAAUCUCUGACAGACGAGGCCUCAGGGAGUGGACAGGUGAGGUCUCGCAGGACACGAUGCCUGAGGCUGGGGUGCCCGAGUGAGGAGCACCACAGGGCUGGGAAGGAAGGCACAGCUGCAGCGCACGGGCUCACAGCCGGCCCCGUGGAUGGGGGGGUCAGGUGCUGCCCAUCGCCACUGCAGCACCGCGCCGGGUGGUGGCAGCCAGUGGGUGCUGCCCUCAGUCCCAGGAGAGGGAUCUCGCUCUGCCAGCAGGCCAGGCGCCCACAACUCCUGCACAAGCCUCUUUUCUCCCUGCAGGAGCGAGGAGCAGGGCCAGCACUACACCUGAUGCUGGGCAUGUUGCUCAUGCUCUCAGAAGACCUCUCCUCCUGCCUCCAGGAGGCAAGUGCAGCUGUAGGGGAUAAAUACAGCUUGUGA